AGAUUGAACGCUAGCGGGAUGCUUUACACAUGCAAGUCGAACGGCCGCGCGGACUUCGGUCUGGCGGCGAGUGGCGAACGGGUGAGUAAUAUAUCGGAACGUGCCCAGUAGCGGGGGAUAACUACGCGAAAGCGUGGCUAAUACCGCAUACGCCCUACGGGGAAGGGGGGAUCGCAAGACCUCUCACUAUUGGAGCGGCCGAUAUCAGAUUAGCUAGUUGGUGAGGUAAAGGCUCACCAAGGCGACGAUCUGUAGCUGGUUUGAGAGGACGACCAGCCACACUGGGACUGAGACACGGCCAGACUCCUACGGGAGCAGCAGUGGGAUUUGGACAAUGGGGGAAACCCUGAUCCAGCCAUCCCGCGUGCGAUGAAGGCCUUCGGUUGUAAGUCUACGUUUUA
rnacentral:rRNA from 1 species